CAGAGCGAGAGGAGCGCACCCGUCCCGGACACUUUACAUUAGGCUGGCUACCUCCUGUGUUACAAAUUCAUAUAUGAAGAAAAGCAAUCAGGUGGUUCUGAAUGGAAAUUUGUAGAAUUUCUUUACAACUGCAAAAAGGCGGAGAAAACUGUUCCAUGAUGGAGACAUUUUAAUUUGUAAUUCCGGAGACAUUUCUUCCCAUUCUUUCCAAGAAGUGACGCAACAUCAACACUCCCAGUAAACUGGACACAGGAAUAUUUGUUGUGUUACAAGAGCUACGCCAGAGCACCCAGACAGACCAAGUCUCAACUAACAGGUUACUGAUUACAUGAUUUUAUUAUGGGUUUUCAUUGAGCUAUUACAAAUGAAGAUGAAAACCAUGGAGGGUUAGAGACGGUUGGCAAGGACACAGGAGAGGCGUCACGGGAGGAACAAAACGGGAUAAGAAAUGUGACGACUGACUGAGCAAAAGAAGAAAAUGUCGGAGAAAGAAGGAAAGAGAGAAGGAUUGUGUGUUCUCUACUUUCUCAGAAGUGCUGCCCCUAAAUUCCUGUUACUAUGCCUGAGAGAGGGAGGGCAGCAGACCAGUCAAAAUGAACCCCUACGUCACCUCUCAUUUUAGGAGGGAUCUCUUUCCCCACUUCUACUUGUUGUAGAGGCUUCUCUUCUCUUCUCCCUUCUCUUACUGUUUGUGUGACAUGACAACACCUGUCUCUGUGUAAACCUAGGACAGUAGGUAACACCUGUCUCUGUGUAAACCUAGGACAGUAGGUAACACCUGUCUCUGUGUAAACCUAGGACAGUAGGUAACACCUGUCUCUGUGUAAACCUAGGACAGUAGGUAACACCUGUCUCUGUGUAAACCUAGGACAGUAGGUAACAUCUGUCUCUGUGUAAACCUAGGACAGUAGGUAACACCUGUCUCUGUGUAAACCUAGGACAGUAGGUAACAUCUGUCUCUGUGUAAACCUAGGACAGUAGGUAACAUCUGUCUCUGUGUGAACCUAGGACAGUAGGUAACACAUGUCUCUGUGUAAACCUAGGACAGUAGGUAACACCUGUCUCUGUGUGAACCUAGGACAGUAGGUAACAUCUGUCUCUGUGUAAACCUAGGACAGUAGAACACACCUGUCUCUGUGUAAACCUAGGACAGUAGGUAACACCUGUCUCUGUGUAAACCUAGGACAGUAGGUAACACCUGUCUCUGUGUAAACCUAGGACAGUAGGUAACACCUGUCUCUGUGUAAACCUAGGACAGUAGGUAACACCUGUCUCUGUGUAAACCUAGGACAGUAGGUAACAUCUGUCUCUGUGUAAACCUAGGACAGUAGGUAACACCUGUCUCUGUGUAAACCUAGGACAGUAGGUAACAUCUGUCUCUGUGUAAACCUAGGACAGUAGGUAACAUCUGUCUCUGUGUGAACCUAGGACAGUAGGUAACACAUGUCUCUGUGUAAACCUAGGACAGUAGGUAACACCUGUCUCUGUGUGAACCUAGGACAGUAGGUAACAUCUGUCUCUGUGUAAACCUAGGACAGUAGAACACAUCUGUCUCUGUGUAAACCUAGGACAGUAGGUAACACCUGUCUUUGUGUAAACCUAGGACAGUAGGUAACAUCUGUCUCUGUGUAAACCUAGGACAGUAGGUAACACCUGUCUCUGUGUAAACCUAGGACAGUAGGUAACACCUGUCUCUGUGUAAACCUAGGACAGUAGGUAACACCUGUCUCUGUGUAAAC